CACAUGACCUACGAGGAGGUGGCUCAAGUCAGUUUUAGCAGGGUUUUGGGGGGGACAUGAUCGGUCGCUAACAGUGUGGUGUAUGGGUGGCUGAAGCGGCUAGUCAGUAUGUCCAGCGGCACGCGAGGGAAGGUCGGCGGGGCGCUGCCCUGCGCCUCACGAGGCUGGGCGUUGUUUUCACUUUCUACUUCCUUGGUGUAGUGUCGCCGAUGGUUGAUGACAUCAUUCAUUACAGCUGAUAAGUGAGAUGCAGGGUUAUCCUCACACCCUCUACUUCCUCGUCUUUUGUGGUAAUUUUAAUGGGUGAGUAUUAACUUUAACGAGGCUGACACUGGUUUGCUCGAGCGCGAAGGGACGGGGCUAUUGUUCUAGGGCAAAGGGACGGGGCUAGCUUGGAGGACCGUUAGGGUUUCCAUGUUCACUUCUUCUUUGGGAAGAUAACGCUCAAGUCGUAGUGGGAGGUUAGGAAGGCAUUAUGUAAUUUACAUAAUUAGACAAAACCAAUAAAAUAAAAUAAAUGAUAAAUGUACUUUGACGGGUGUUCUUUACUGGUAUGCAAGUAAAAGUUGCAAAGAAGUGAGGGAUGGAGGAGGGAGACUAUUGUUUGAAAGGGGAGUUACCUUCUAUGAGGACAUUAGGCAACUCAAAUUCGGGCGAGCUGUCGUAUAGUUUCUUCAGCUAACUAUUGUCGCGUUAACUAUGCCUUUGUCUUUGAUAAGAUCGGAGUAUCCCUUACAAAACUUGCAUUUAAAUAUUACCUCUUUUUAUUUUAUUUGCACAUACUUGACUUGCAUUUUUAGAAGUUAAGAUGUUUCAGAACCAUUUUAAUUACUUUUAGGUAAGCAACACCCAAUGUGUUAAUCUUUGUUUCCAAAAAAGUAAAGAAAAAGAUGAGUCAGUGUCAAGAUGUUAAGCGCACUCGGCAGAAACUUGUCGCCCCAUUCUGAUUUCAGAGGUUUAAAGAUUUUACAAUUCUGGAAAAAAAAGAUUUAUUAACCUAAUCUGAUUCCUUCUUAGACUGAAAAGUAGUGAAACUUUAUGUUUUGAAUUCUAAAGAACUAUAUUAUGAUUCACCUACAGUCUCAAGCUUGUGGCGUUCGUCAGUAAGCAAAGUUUCCAUUAAGCAUAAAGGCUCCUUCAGUUUGCAUGCAAUGUGACUUCGUAGAUACAACACGGAGCUAAGUCCCAAAUGCGGACGUCUUCGAUUGGUUUCCCAAAACACUGAUUUGGCCGUGUGCAAAACUUCGUUCAAUUUCGUGAGGAGUCGGUUCUUGGGAAUUAACUGACCAACCUCAAACGUUCACCCAGACACUAAUAGGGGAAGUUUCUAGAGGUCUGCAGAGUCGAGGAAGGUUGGAAACAAUUUAUUAAUAGAAUUUGGAGUAAAAAUAACAGAAAAAAGAAAAGUCGUAAUGAAUCGAUAUUCCUUUGUUCUGCAAGGAGGAAAGGAGGUUAUAUAAAAAAAAAUAGUAAAAGUUCACGUCAAAGUAUAAGCAUAACAUUGGAGAGAGAGAGAGAGAGAGAGAGAGAGAGAGAGAGAGAGAGAGAGAGAGAGAGAGAGAGAGAGAGAGAGAGAUUUACAUAGAUUUACAUGGAAAAUUCAGACCACACUGAACCUAUGGUCCAGACUAAGGUGGUCUGUCUUUAAACCUAUGUGAUUUUCUAUUAAUUAAGCAGAUGGCUCCAAGACUUUGCAUGGAAGUGUCGCUCGAGCUUGCUUUUAGAGUCAAUCGUGUUGCACUGGACCACUGAAGGUGGGAGGUUAUUCCAUUCUCGCACUACAACGUUGGUGAAGAAAAAAAAAUGAUGCAUUCUGAAUCUAAUGUUUACACUUAAUUAAGUUUUGUGCCAUUAUUUCUCGUUCGGAAAGUGUCAUUGAUUAUAAACAAUUUUGAUUUGUUUACAUUCGUAAAGUCAUUAAUUAUUUUAAAACAUUCGAUCAGUUUUCCUCGGAGGCGACGUUUCUUAAGAGAGAACAUGUUAAAAGUCAAUACCCUUUCGUGGUAAGGUUUGUUGCGCAAGAAAGAUAUAAUUUUUGUUGCCCGUCGUUGAACAUCUAAUUUAGCAAUGUUCUUUACAUGGUAGGGAGACCAGAAUUGAUCCCCAUAUUCCAAGUGGGAUCUGACUAAACAAUUGUAAAACUGGAAUAUUACAUCUUUAUUUUUGAUGAUUUUAAUGAAGCCCAUGAUUCGGUUCACUUUAUUUGCUGCGUCAGUGCAUUUCUGUGAGAAUUUGAAGUUUGACGCGAUUUUGACAUAUGUCCUUGACGCAUUCAACGCUUUUGAGUUUAACGCCACGCAUUUCGUAAUCGAACGAGAGAGAGAGAGAGAGAGAGAGUGAGAUAUUUACGUAGAUAUUCGGAUCACACCGACAUUAUGGUGGAUAUUUAGAAGUAGCAGAUGGAUACAUGACCUCAAACGUUGUUCAGCUCCCAGUCUCCAAAAUGGUCAGGGAUACGUAUAGGAUGCUGAACUGACUACUCUAGAUCAUUGACACGAGCAAGGUUGUAGGUUUGCUAUGACUGGUCAGUGAAAGACGAUGAAAGCCAAAGCUGGUGGCAAAAACUGAAAUCUUCUUAGAUGGAGAUUUCAGCGAAUGGAUUAGCAUUUAAGAUGUUCUCCACUUUGGAAUUUGAAUAGUUCAAAAAUUACAUAGUUUGUAGAGUUAGGUGGGAGAUCAACAAUGCAGGCGUAGUUAGUAAUAGAACGACAUUGAGGUCAUAGCCAGAUGCUAGAAAAUUAUGUUCAAUGUAAUUUAUUGACAAAAUUCAGCAGUCUGUGCAGUUACAGAACAUUUCCACUUUCUACUUCCUGAGAAAUAAAACUACCACAGUCAGUAAUCAAUCCACACCAGAAUUUGUUAAUGUGCAAAACGGUGAAAGGAAAGGAAACAUUAAUUCUGAAAGCAUAUAAGAGCUUAUUCAUCAUAUCCUGAACACAAGUUAUGCGUGAAGGUCACACUUAUACAUCAUUAUGACAGUUCAUAUAGGUCGGUGUCAAGACAGAGGGAAAGCAGCGGAUGACAGGGUGGUGGCAACCGAUAGUGGCUCGUGUGCACUCUGCCAUUUGAAACAACGGUAUCUAUCGCUGGCUACAGUGGCGUGGUCGGAGAAAUGGAUCCGCCCGCCACAACUCGCCGCUGAUUUGUGGCGACUACAAAAACGUGGCCCGUGUGCAAUACUGUGCAUGCAGGCAUAUAUAUGUAUGUGUCCUAUUUUGAACAUUAUUUUGUGGCGGCCACUGACCACUAAAAAGUGGCUCGUGUGAAUCCAGCCUAAAUCAGCUUCCUCGAGGUUGGGUGUUCUGUAUCGUAUCGCUCCGCCAGUUCUUCUUCCUCGUACAGUUGCUAUCCCUAUACCGGGGCCUUGUCCGCCCUCGUAUGGAGUGUGUAUCUCACGUGUGGGAGGGCUCCAUAGAGACAGCUCUCUUGGACAUAUAGUCUCUUACCUCUUAAAUUCCGCCGCCAUAUUGCCUCUCCUUCUAUCUUCUAUCGAUAUGUUCACGCCGACUGCUCUUCUGAACUUGCUAACUGCAUACCUCCCCCACUCCCGCGGCCUCGCCGCACACGGCUUUCUACUCAAGCUCAUUCCUUUACUGUCCAAAUCCCUUACGCACGAGUUAACCAGCAUCUUCACUCUUUCAUCCUUCAUGCUGGUAAACUCUGAAACAAUUUUCCUUUAUCUGUAUUUCCUCCGGCCUACGUAUUGAAUUCUUUCAAGGGGAGGGUAUCAGGACACCUCUCCUCCCGAAAUUGACCUCUUUUUCGGCCACUCCUCUGAAUGCUUUUUUUUAUAGGAGCAGUGAGUAGCGGGCUUUUUUUCAUUAGUUUCAUUUUUUUUGCUCUUGAGCUGUUUCCUUUGCUCUAAACACACACACACACACACACACACACACACACACACACACACACACACACACACAUUCAUAUUUUAACGAGUCCCAUUAAGCUAGCUUUUCAUGUUUCUACUCAUCCUGCAACAUUUCCAUAUUUCUCUCACUCUACAAUAUUUUAACCUGUUAGACGACGUGUGUGUGUGUAUGUGUGUGUGUGUGUGUGUGUGUGUGUGUGUGUGUGUGUUUUAUGUUUGAUUUUCAUCUACUUUGCUUAAAUCCAUUCAGUUAACAAACAGAACCGUCAUACUAGUUUGUGUAGUACAUCGUCAGUUGAACAAAACAAAAUUGUGGCGAUGGAUAUGAAUAUCCCUUCCAGUGAAUUUGAGAAGCUAGGCUUCCAAACUCUUGUUACCAAACAAGAGCAUAAUUGCAUUCAACUGAGAGUGAAUGUAAUGGACGAAGAAGAUGCAGAAAGAUGGAAGAAUGACUACUGUGUGCAGAACAAGGUGACGCUAAAUGUUGCAAAAGCCCAUAGCAGAAAAGUUUAAUUUAAAAGGACCUUCAUCUUCCUUCAUGGAGACCAACGUCACCUUGGAAAAAAAAAGAAUUUACUAGGUGUGAAUCUGAAAUUGACCUGACCAUAAAACCAGUCAGCAGACUCACAAUUAGAAGAGAUGAACAAAGGGCACAAUAUUCCUGCUUCAUAAUCAUAAAAGGCACCCACAACCAUUCGCUUGAGUCUGCAGCGGGAUUGUGGCAGCUAAUAGUGCUACCAGACACAAGAGAGGAGUUCUUUAACGACUCUUUUGUGUCAAAAAGAGGGGAAUAUUGCAAGGGUCACGCACACCAGCUAGAAGGGGCAAGCGAAGGGGGCGUGGAGGAGGCGUUUGUGACCGUCGCGGUGGGGAUGGCGUCCCGGCUUUUUGGUCUUGUAGUGGGAAUGGAAGAGCCGCCGACACCAUGAGGAGGGGCUUGACCUGUUCACUUCACCUGAUGCCACAGAUACGGCGCUGCUCCUCUGAGAACUAGAUUGAAGGUACGAGCUUAAGUGUGGCCCAGGGCCCGUCCGUGGGCUAACUCCAACAUCACCAGCUUCAGGAAUUGAUUGAUUCAGGCCAAGAACUUGAACUAAUAUACUUUCCUAUAUCAAAAUUUUUGCUUGUCUGCUCAUGUGUAAAAAAGGCACCUUGGAUACCGCAGGCCUAUUUCACAAAACAAUAACAAUGAAGUAUUUGCACAUUUUGAUACAUGCAGUUUC